AUGGCGGUCAGGGAUUUGUACCGUAAGAUCCUAGUGAGGGGGCUGCCCUGGACUGUGGGGAAAUUUGAAGUCUCCGAAUAUUUUAAGCAGUUUGGGUCCAUCAAGAAAUGCAACGUGCCGUUCGUGAGUAUGAGACCCCUCCCCUGCAGCACAAACGGAUUUACUGGUGUUUGCCAGCAGGAACUUUCCCUGCUGAGGCAAGAGUGGGGUGAACAGAGGCAAAGGCUAGUUCUGGUAUUUACAGACCUCAAUGGAAGAGUGCACUCAUCAGAUGUUUCUCAGAGCUCAGUCAGUCUAGUUGUCAAGAAGUCUUGGGUUUGGAUAAUGCUUUUUUUCCCCCCAAAUGUUUGUCUCUGCUUCUUUAGAUUGCUUAAACAACUUGCAACUCUUGACAGGUCUUCCUACUUUUGGAUACAUUUAGAUGUUUAUGAUAACUGAUAUUUGGAUAAUGCUUGAAAAUGGUAAAAAGAAGAGCUGGGAGUCUGGACUCUUGGCUUGUGUUACUGUUGCUGCUACUUAGGCCAUAAUUUGCCCAUCUGCACAAUACUCAAAAUAACAGAAGAGCCUUGAGCUCAUCUGCUCCAAAGCAUUAUGAAGGUACAGAUCUAACAAGUAAGUAGUUUUUUGCUUGAUCGAGGAGGUUUUUGGGUCUUAACUGUCAAGUAAGAUGAACAGUGUGGCUGUUUAAGGAUAGACAUAUAGACAGCAAUGGAGCUAAAUGGGAUGGUCCUUAAAAUUAUUUUCAUUCUUCUGUAAUUCAGAAGGUAAUCGUGGGAUCAUCAGGCCAUGGGGAUCAUCAGAAGAUUCUCAUCUCUAGGAGAAGUAGCAUGAAUACAUGUGAAGUAUAGUGUUUCAGCUAAACAGUGUCGUAGCCCAAGUUCUUUCACAUAUCUUGUGUAAAUAUUUAGGGAUUUAAUUCAUGAUGCUGAAAAACUCCCAUUCUGAAAUCUCCAUCUCUCUCUAAUUCUGUCUGAUAGUUAAGCAUUUCCUUAAUGCUACCUUUAAGUUAGUAGAUCACAUUUCUUUCCCCUUUGUGGACAAGUAUUCAUUUAAGAAACUGGAACGGUCACUUUCUUCCUUUUAACUUGGGAUUACAGAAGAAAAUGUAUUGGAGUGAGCCCUCUGUUCUUCCUACGUUUUUCAGUGUAAACAAUGGUAACAUAAUGGCCCAGGAUAUGAGAGAAACAAGAUUGGUAAGGUUAUAUAUCAUACACUUGACUGGUGCUCUCUCAGACCUGACAAAAGGUGCCUGAAACCUUGGCUCUCACUUAUACAGGUUGGUCUAAGAAAAGCCAUUGCCUCACUUUCCAAAUCCUGUUUCUUUCAUGUGAACAGGUCAUCUAUGUAAGAUUAAACUUGGUAUGAAAAGUAAAUUAGUUGGGAGGCAGUAGAAUGGUAUGUUCUUUAGGGGAGUAUUUUCUUAAAACUAAAAUAUUGGGAUGGUAUUAGUACCUCUGGGUACUGAAACAGCACAUUAUAAUAAGACAGAUGGUAUCUAGUCAGAAGAUUCACUGUUAUUUGGAAGUGCUGUUAGCCAUGAGUGAAAUUGGCAGAACUAUGUAGUAGCCUCAGGCCUAACUAGCUGUGGCUUAACCAUUUAGGUACUUUAGAACAGUGGUUCUCAACCUUUUUUGUACCAAAACCCAUUUGUAAACAUAGAUGUCUAGUCCUAACCCAGUGCUCCUCACUCCUGACCCACUGCCCCUAGGCCCCAGCCCCCCCAGUGUGUGGGAUGGGGCUUGGGGGGCCCAAGCAGCCCCUUCCAGGCUGGAAUUCCAUCAGUCUACUGGGGAAAAGCCAUGGUUUCCCACAUUUUUCUCCUUUAAAAGAAAAUUCAUUUUUAAAGCAUUUCCAUGAUCCUUUCAUGUAUUCUUGAGACCUGUUUUUGGGUCACAACCCAUGUGUUGAGAAACACUGCUUUAGAUGAUCUAAUUGUUUCACCUGGCUCUCCCUUUUGUGAAUAACAACUCACUUUUAAACAAUUCCAUUAUUUGAAGGGAAUUUAGGAAGUUGUCGUUUUCUCUCUGCCUGUGUGGUUAAGGGCAGUUUGCUGCAAUGUACUUUCAUCGCGUCUUAAACAACUGUUUCCCUCACUUGUCAAAUUCCUUUCCAGCACUGAAGCAGUCUCUUAUUUUCAGAUCAACCUUCCAUUUAAGUGUCACUUAUGCUAUGGAUUUCUGGGUGAUGGGUUGUGACUGGAAUUUGGAAUAAAUAUCUCUGUCAUGGUUUGGAAGUGAAGUUG
rnacentral:lncRNA from 1 species